rnacentral:rRNA from 1 species
GACGUAGGGAGCGAGCGUUGUCCGGAUUCAUUGGGCGUAAAGCGCGCGCAGGCGGCCAGGCAAGUCGGGUGUGAAAAUCCGAGGCUCAACCUCGGACCUGCACCCGAAACUGCCGGGCUUGAGGCAGGUAGGGGAGAUCGGAAUUCCUGGUGUAGCGGUGAAAUGCGCAGAUAUCAGGAGGAACACCGGUGGCGAAGGCGGAUCUCUGGGCCUGUCCUGACGCUGAGGCGCGAAAGCUAGGGGAGCGAACAGG